rnacentral:rRNA from 1 species
UACGUAGGGGGCUAGCGUUGUCCGGAUUUAUUGGGCGUAAAGAGCGUGUAGGCGGCCAUGUAGGUCCGGUGUGAAAACUCGAGGCUUAACCUCGAGAUGUCAUCGGAAACCAUUUGGCUAGAGUCCGGAAGAGGAGAGUGGAAUUCCUGGUGUAGCGGUGAAAUGCGCAGAUAUCAGGAGGAACACCAAUUGCGAAGGCAGCUCGCUGGGACGUAACUGACGCUGAGGAGCGAAAGCGUGGGGAGCGAACAGG